CGUAGUAGGUGCUUAAUAAAUGC
rnacentral:miRNA from 1 species